rnacentral:rRNA from 1 species
GAACGAGAAAGUGGAGCAAUCCAUGAGUAAAGUGGCGACCGGGUGAGUAACACGUGACUAACCUACCUCCAAGUGGGGAAUAACUCCGGGAAACCGGGGCUAAUACCGCAUAACAUCGCAAGAUCAAAGCAGCAAUGCGCUGGGAGAGGGGGUCGCGGCUGAUUAGCUAGUUGGCGGGGUAACGGCCCACCAAGGCGAAGAUCGGUAUCCGGCCUGAGAGGGCGCACGGACACACUGGAACUGAAACACGAUCCAGACUCCUACGGGAGGCAGCAGUGGGGAAUUUUGCGCAGUGGGGGAAACCCUGACGCAGCAACGCCGCGUGGAGGAUGAAGUCCCUUGGGACGUAAACUCCUUUCGACGGGGACGAAACCGCAAGGUCGACGGUACCCGUAGAAGAAGCCCCGGCUAACUCCGUG